AUUUAUCUCAUCUGUUCCCCCACGACACCCCUAUUUGAUGUUUUUAUUAUUCUCAUUUUAUAGAUGUUGAAACUCAAACUCAAAGAUCUUCAGUAACUUGCCCAGUCACAAAGUCAGGGGAAGAAAUGUGAUCUUAAUUCGGGAAGCCUGACCUGUCUGUGCUCAUACUCACUACGCUAUACUGCCCUCUUGUGGCCAGAAUGAGUCAGUAGAAACAGCUGAAAGUGAUCACAGGCUGGAGGUGUCAUGUAUGCAACGAGUACGGGCUUGGGAGUGGGAUUUUCCAAGAUUUCAGUCCUCGCUGCCGCAUCGCAACUGGAGACUGAGAUAUUAACCAAAUCAGCUUCCACACUCCACCAAGGCCCACAAGCCGCUGGAGCUGGAUGGCAUGCUUGACAGAGAGUCUCACUGUGUCGCCCAGGCUGGAGUGCAGUGGUGCAAUCAUAGCUCAUGGCAACCUUUGCCUCUCGGGUUCAAGCUAUUCUUCUGCCUCAG
rnacentral:lncRNA from 1 species